GCUUGUGCUGAGGGUCUGUUUUCUAAGCUACACACUGGCGACUUGUUCCUUACUCUUCUGUCUAGGGGAAAGUCCCCGGACCUACGUCAGAGAGUACCAUGUGGCUACACAAAUUGACAUUCCCAUUUGCCAUAUAAAGUCUACAGGAAGCUAAUAGGCAUAGCAGGAGCAGCAUGGUGAAAAAGGGGCGUCCCCUUCAGCUCUUCUAGUUACACAGGCAGUGCACCUUCCCACAUGCACCAGCCACACAGGGCUUGUUCUCAGUGUGGC
ensembl:ribozyme RNase_MRP RNase MRP